GCCCAGAUGGCGGAAUUGGUAGACGCGCGGGACUCAAAAUCCCGUGAUGGUAACAUCGUGAGGGUUCGAUUCCCUCUCUGGGCA
rnacentral:tRNA from 1 species